GCGAGGAUUACCGAGCCAGGUCAAAGGUGAUAGAUUUAGGGUCUAUUCCCGCAGGGGUUCGCCGGUUCGAAUCCGGCUCCUCGCA
rnacentral:tRNA from 1 species